rnacentral:tRNA from 17 species
GCCCAAGUGGCGGAAUGGUAGACGCAGGGGAUUCAAAAUCCCCCGCCGCAAGGCGUGCCGGUUCGAGUCCGGCCUUGGGUACCA